UUAAUUCUCCCUCCGUCCCAAAAUUCUUGUCUUAAAUUUGUCUAGAUACGGAUGUAUCAAGUCACGUUUUCGUAUUAGAUAUAUCCGUAUCUAGACAAAUCUAAGAAAGAAUUUUGGAACGGAGGGAGUACAUU
rfam:Triticum aestivum genome assembly, contig: Triticum_aestivum_CS42_TGACv1_scaffold_289378_4AL